GCCCGUGUGGUAUGCUGGCGGUAUUGGAAACAACUGCAACGCUUUAUUGAAGGCGUAGGACAGCUAACCCAUGCGGGUUU
rnacentral:sRNA from 1 species